UAACACGUAGGAGGCGAGCGUUGUCCGGAAUCAUUGGGCGUAAAGAGCGCGCAGGCGGCCCGGCAAGUCGGUUGUGAAAUCCCGGGGCUCAACCCCGGGACUGCAUCCGAUACUGUCGGGCUAGAGGUAGGUAGGGGAGAUCGGAAUUCCUGGUGUAGCGGUGAAAUGCGCAGAUAUCAGGAGGAACACCGGUGGCGAAGGCGGAUCUCUGGGCCUUACCUGACGCUCAGGCGCGAAAGCUAGGGGAGCGAACAGGAUUAGAUACCCUGGUAGUCCUAGCCGUAAACGUUGGGUGCUAGGUGUGGGCGGAUAUCGACCCCGUCCGUGCCGAAGCUAACGCAUUAAGCACCCCGCCUGGGGAGUACGGCCGCAAGGCUA
rnacentral:rRNA from 1 species